GAUGAACGCUAGCUACAGGCUUAACACAUGCAAGUCGAGGGGUAACGAGAGGAAAGCUUGCUUUCCUUGUCGACGACCGGCGCACGGGUGAGUAACGCGUAUCCAACCUGCCCCCAACCAGGGAAUAACCUUGCGAAAGUAAGACUAAUACCCUAUAAUUUCCUCAGAUGUCAUCUGACGAGGAAUAAAGAUUUAUCGGUUGUGGAUGGGGAUGCGUCUGAUUAGCUUGUUGGCGGGGUAACGGCCCACCAAGGCAACGAUCAGUAGGGGUUCUGAGAGGAAGGUACCCCACAUUGGAACUGAGACACGGUCCAAACUCCUACGGGAGGCAGCAGUGAGGAAUAUUGGUCAAUGGGCGGAAGCCUGAACCAGCCAAGUAGCGUGCAGGAUGACGGCCCUAUGGGUUGUAAACUGCUUUUAUACAGGAAUAAAGUUAGCCACGUGUGGUUAUUUGUAGGUACUGUAUGAAUAAGGACCGGCUAAUUCCGUGCCAGCCGCCGCGGUAA
rnacentral:rRNA from 1 species